GUCAGAUGAACGCUGGCGGCAGGCCUAACACAUGCAAGUCGAACGGUAGCACAGAGAGCUUGCUCUCGGGUGACGAGUGGCGGACGGGUGAGUAAUGUCUGGGAAACUGCCUGAUGGAGGGGGAUAACUACUGGAAACGGUAGCUAAUACCGCAUAACGUCGCAAGACCAAAGAGGGGGACCUUCGGGCCUCUUGCCAUCAGAUGUGCCCAGAUGGGAUUAGCUAGUAGGUGGGGUAACGGCUCACCUAGGCGACGAUCCCUAGCUGGUCUGAGAGGAUGACCAGCCACACUGGAACUGAGACACGGUCCAGACUCCUACGGGAGGCAGCAGUGGGGAAUAUUGCACAAUGGGCGCAAGCCUGAUGCAGCCAUGCCGCGUGUAUGAAGAAGGCCUUCGGGUUGUAAAGUACUUUCAGCGGGGAGGAAGGUGUUGUGGUUAAUAACCACAGCAAUUGACGUUACCCGCAGAAGAAGCACCGGCUAACUCCGUGCCAGCAGCCGCGGUAAUACGGAGGGUGCAAGCGUUAAUCGGAAUUACUGGGCGUAAAGCGCACGCAGGCGGUCUGUCAAGUCGGAUGUGAAAUCCCCGGGCUCAACCUGGGAACUGCAUUCGAAACUGGCAGGCUAGAGUCUUGUAGAGGGGGGUAGAAUUCCAGGUGUAGCGGUGAAAUGCGUAGAGAUCUGGAGGAAUACCGGUGGCGAAGGCGGCCCCCUGGACAAAGACUGACGCUCAGGUGCGAAAGCGUGGGGAGCAACAGGAUA
rnacentral:rRNA from 1 species